GUCACGUGAUGUUGCUGCCUCUUUCCAGGGUGACAUGGCGUUGGUAUGGUACGGAAGGCACACGACGUUCUGCUGCUGCGGUUACAAGAUUCCGGACGACACUACAGAGUGCCACGACGUUACGAAGUAUCAAAGAGCAUCUUUAGGGAUAAGCAUGAAGCAUGGUGCAAGAAGGACUCCAUUAAACAGAACAGUAACGAGUAACAGAAGAAUGAAGAUGCUAUCCGGAGAUAGCCGCUUUCCUGCAAGGAACAGCAUGCACAUCAAUCCAAAUUACAUCAAGUAACAAGAGGGAAAAAGAGAAGAAAAAACGUACAAAAGUUUGUUGCAGUAGAUUGGAAGAAAAAAAAAAGAAAAAAUUCUUGUUAAAAGUCACCAAAAUAUGGCAAAAUGAUUGAUUCCUUAACAGUUCACACCUCAUCUGUUGGAAACAAAAUGUGCAAAACAAUGGAAGAAUUGAUAAAGUGGAUCUCGAGAUAGCAAAAGAAGAUCUACGUCCUGUUAUGUACAUGUGAUUUAUUUUAAUUCUUUUUUUUUAAAAAAAAAGAAAAAAGAAAUGGUUUUUUCUUUCUGUCCUGUUUUUGAAUCACCAGGGAUUCUAUAUUGUGAUUGAACACUACCUCCAGUAGACAGAGAUUGAGUCUACUUCCUCCAAAAGACCAUACUGGGAUCCACUGAUAGAUAAUGUCUACCUCAUCCUAUUAUCUGGGUCAAUGGUAACUUCAUCAUACUACCUCAAUCCUUAUCGCGUAUUGAAAAUAAUUCCUCCUCAUUUUUGCCUAAAUAUAUAAUAAUAAGAAGAAUAAGAAUAAUAAUAUAUAUAUAUAUAUAUCUUCUCAACAUAUACAUAUAUAUAAAAAAGAAAUUGUGAUUUUUUUAAAUAUGAUAAGCUGUGAGAAUAUGUGCAAAUCUUUCAACGAUCAAAUUGCUUCUCGUGUUUCGUAUUUAACAAUUUCAAGUAAUUACAAGGAUCAAGAUAAGCUUGGAAAUUACAAGAAAAUGCAACGUGUCUGCUGUUUUUUUACUUCUAAACAGAGUUUAAAGCCAUUGGUUUAUGUUCCAUAUGAAGAACCUCCUUCUUGAAGUCACCAUUUAAUUACAAUUAAGUUUAACAAUUUGCACAGUAUCACGUUCCUUUAAAAGAUAGAAAAAAACAAAAAUAUUAAAUAAAAAAUAAUCACCGAGUUCAUGUUAAAUCCUCAGGGAAAGAUUAUUAUUCUAUCUUAUGCCUCUACCUCACCAAAAUCGGAAAAGAUAAACCCUACCCAUUCAUACCUCAGGAAAUCAUCCCUAUUGAUGACGAAAGAAUAUCUUAAACUUCAUAAUUUUUGAGGUCAUUAAAAAAAAAUCGGUUUAGAGUUCCAAAAGAGGACGACCUCCAAAAAUUUAACACACACACACACAUAUAUAUAUAUAUAUAUAUACAUAUAUACACACCUAUAUAUGUAUAUAUAUAUAUAUAUACACACACAUAGAUAGAUAGAGUCCUUUAAAUUAGAUGAAGAUUUAACAAAGAUAUUAUGGAAAAUUCGGAGUCGUUUACUCUUAGAACAUCUCAGGAAAAUAAUUUUAAAAAAAAUUUAAAAAAAAAAUAAUGAAAGAAGAUCCUUAUUUUAUAGCUUCUUUAAAAGGAGUUCCUCAUCACGGGCCUACCUCAAUUGUGGAUCCUGGAAUA